AGUCAAGUCUACGGUAGUGCAACGUCUACGCUGUCUUUAGACCAUUACGUCUUUUCAUUGGCCCGGAGUCUACGGUGAGCGUAGACACUAUAGACUCGGCCCAAUAGGAGCACCGAAUCCCACUGUAGACGACCAAUCGUCUGGUCGACGGAAGUUGCGUCACCAAAACAACAACACGCAGCGGACCAGCGAAGAAGCCGGCAAGUCCGCUAUUCACUCAUUCAUGGAAACUGGCAUUUCUUUUAUGUUUACGUCUUGGUAUGGCGACACCAACGAUUCGGCUAGUUAAUCCAGAUGCCCCUGCACAUCGUCAGCAGGCUCUACUUAUGGCAACCAAAGAGGCACGUUACUACCGGGUGAGAAGUAUGGUCUUCCCCAAACCUCCACAGGAGCUGCUCAGCCAAGUCACUGCCUUGACUCAUGCAGAGAAGCUUCUUCAAACCGAGGGUAUCCACGCGCCUUCACGUCAGCAGUGCCUGGGAAAGCUGGUGGUGCCAUUUGGACAAUAUGAACAUGCACCGUUUCGGUGGCUCGUUGCAAACGAUGUGGGAUAUAUGAAGUACAUACUUGACAGGCACAGAACAGAGGUUACAAAUUCACAAAGAAAGGGAGAGAUAGGGAACCAGUGGGUGAAGGAUUACCUGACAGAAUAUGCAGAAAGCUUCCCUCAAGUCUCCGUAGUCCUCGAGGCCAACAUUGACAGGUGCAUCUAUGGUCAGAAAGGGUUUGAAGAUCACACCUUUCAAGAGAUGUGGGAAUUAUAUUGUCAGUACAGCAGCCAAAAGGACAGACCUGAGAAGUUCAGUGAUGAGCAGAGGGAGGUCAUUCAGAAGGCACACAGUUCUGUGAAGAGGUGGUUGAACACACCAGUGACGCACAUCACAAGCACCCAAAUGAAGAGGUUCAGAAAAUAUAUAUAUGACAAGGAACAACAACGGCUGACAAGUACCCCCAGGUGUGAUCCUUCGUUGUGGCCAGGUGAUGAUGCUGAACUGAUAGCUGCAUCCCAGUCUGUGGAAGAUUCACUGAAGUCCCAACACUCCUUGUCUGCAAGUCAACCUUUAAAGCAACGGCUGACAAGCAGAGGUGUUUCCUCCUCCCAGACGUCUGGAACUCAGGAGAACUCAGCUCCCCUGUCCAAGGAGUUUGCGAACACUGUACAGUCACCACAUCAAAAUAAAUCUACUGUGCAGCCCAAACAUCGUGAGUCCAUAGAGGCUGCCAUACAGUCCAAAAAACUUGACACUGUUGGAUUCACUGAGUCAUCUGCAUCCCAGGGUCAUGAUCAUACAACACAAUUACCGUUGAGUCAUUCACCUGUGGAGCUAGAGGGAUGGGUGCGUCCCUGGGAAAAUCCUAAUGGUAUCCCAUCUGCUGACAUUUCCUGGCUUAAAGAGGACACUAAAAGAGGGCUGUUUACCCCUGUUCAGACAUACAAGGAUGUUACUGGUGUGUUAAAGAGGCGACGGGUGAUUAAAUCAGAUCGCAUGUGGUUUUACCCACCAGAACCUCCUGGCUAUGUCAGGGGUGCUGUGCCCAGUGUACAGCUCUUUUUUCGCAGCCGUGUCUUUUUGUGGCGUCCUGUUGGGGUAUGGAAGUACUCCCUGAAGUGUCCUCGAGCUGACGAGUGUGUGGGUAAAGGACAAAAUGUGCACCUAUAUAAGUCUGGCUAUCACCACCGGGUACGUCACAUCUGUGACGUGUCCAACUGGUACACGAUGCUUACUGAGGUCCUAUGCUGCGGACCAUGUACAAAGGCGGGCAGAAGUGGCGGAGGAGAAAAAGUGGGUUGGUGGCUUGCCUGGGACUCAGCAAUUUUAUCACAACUCAGCGAGGGACACCAAGCCAUAUUCCCAGCCAUCCUGACUAACAAACGUGGUGUGGAUAAGAAUGUUGUACGCUUUCUGAGAGACAGAACCGAAGGAAACACUAUGGUCAAGCUGUGGCGGCAGAUACAGGAGAAUCACAUGGAGGAGUACCUUCAGCGGAAGGACCUGUACACCACACUCCUAAUGACUUUUGCGGAGCCCGGGGGUGUCAUCUCAGCCUUACGGCACACAUUCCAGGCGCCACUUCCUCCAAGAGAGCUUCCCUCUGCAUGGCUGUUGUGCCACGCUUUCCUGCUGGCAGAGGCCAGCAAUGUGAGGGAUUACCGAAGCCAGAUUCUGUCCACUUUUGGCACUGUGCUGAAAAUGGAUUCCACCAAAAAAGUGGUGAAAACGCUGUCUGGGGAAGGUCAAGGCUCAGCAGAAUGGUUCACCAGUAUCGGAAAUGAGCACUCACAAAUAGUUAAAUUUGUGCUGACCUGCGAGGAGUCCUUUGACAAGCUGCAGCCAAUGUGCCGUGGAGUCAUGGAGAGGUUUCACUUGGCCAAUCAGCCUGUUCCCAAAAUUUUGUAUAUGGACCGUGGGUGUUGCCGUGCACAGGGACCAUCAGUAGUAGAGGCCUUGUUUCAGCCUUGGGUGGACAGUGGGAUGCUUGUGCAUCUGGACAUCUUUCACUGGAUCCACCGGUUUGAUGCAGCCAUCCGGACAGAGUCUCAUGCAAAGUACUCUGCAUUUAAGUCUGCAGUAGCUGGGGCGGGGCUGGCUUACAACCGCACAGACCUUGAGCUGCUUAUAAGGGCCGUCAGAGCAAAGAACCCAGUAAAAAUGCAGUCUGUGUCCGAUGAGGACGUUGUCCGCCUUUACAUUUCCAGGGAGCAGUUAAAACACCAUCUGCGCAGGGUCACACUUGGGGUUCAGGAAACGUUUUGGCUCAUCCAAUUGGUUAUCGAGGAGCUGAAAGGUCCAGCUGGGCUGGAUGAGAGGGGAGUGACUCUCUUCAAAACACCUGGGGCCAUUGAUGAGAUGUGGGCAGCACAGCAGCGACACCUGGAAUGCAUUCAGGACCCACCAGACAUGAGCAUGUAUAGGGUGGCUCAUACCACAACAAUAAACAACGUGGAUGUCCCCUAUUACAAGUGUCUGUGUGGAAGCAAUAGCCUGGAAGGGUUCCACAAAUUACUUCCUAACAUGAUUCCAGGUCCCCACUGCGAACCUGUAGAAGUAAACUUCCGUGGCCCAGCUGAUCUCACAUCAAAUGAAUUGCUCGGGCUGGAGUACUUGUUCAGCCAAAGCACUGGAGAGUCUGGAACUUUCUCUCUGGAGGGCAUCGUCAGUGAUGGACCUGGUCCUGAGGAGGAGGUGGUUCAGCCUGGGCAACCCAAACCAGAUGAUCGCGAUGAAGCAUACCAGAGUGACGAAGAGGCACGCGACACUGUAUUGGACACUGUCCUUCCCCACAUUACACUCACCAAUGAUGAGACUUCCACAGUUCACCCUCCAGCCUUUGAAGAUGCCUGCAGUUCAAACCCCCUUCCUGGAUUUGAAAAGCUGGAAAUGUUCUGCUCUGUGCUUGUGGAGAUUAGCCUGAUAGAGGACAAGCUAUCACUUACCACUGAGCAGAGGAACAAGGUCCUCCAAACCUGGAAUAGCGUGGAGGAGCAUGACAAGCAGCCACAAAAGUUUAACCAGCUGUACAAGACCCACCGGGGCAACACCCUCUACUGCCGCACUAAAAGGGAUGACCUUGUUGAUGCUGCUCUUAUACAGGAGAGACUUGCUGAUGCCAGUCUCCCAGCCUCAGCCACCUCUUCCACCUGUGCCACUACCACCAGCACUUGGAAAGACCCCCGCAACCUCUACCAUCACCAGACCUGUGUCUUCAGUGGCUGCUUCUACAUCAACCUCUGAGACUGUUCGGCCCCCCAUACUGCAAAAAAAA